GGUCGCAUUUCUUGUAAAAAAAGAAUAUAAAGUAAUAAAACUGUGUCUUUUUCCUUAUUUGACAUGUCGGCAACCAAAUAGCUUGGUGGCUGAUUCUGGGAGACUGUAAAUUAAAAACAUUUCCUUAAGCAAUUACUUCCCCUAAUUUUCUUCUCUCGUAUCUACUCUCUCAGCCGUCUUCCACACCACCGAUGCCUUCAACUGAGUCCUCCAUGGACCCUCGCAAUGAAAUUUUCCAACGAUGCCGACCAAUCACUUAUAUACCCACUAUCUCUUCAUCCCCCUUAAGAUUUCUCAUGGCCCUUAUUUCUCACUCUCUUUCCCAAAAUCAUCCUUCAUCUAUGCCAACCACUUGCUGCUACGGCAACAUAUACUAGAGAUUCUCUGCAAUGUGCUCAGCCACAUACCAACUCUGAUUCAAAGUAACGAGGUGGUCGACGACCCCUCAACCACUUCUCAUCUGCUGACUCUAUGUUAGGUAUGAAAACUUUUCUAAAUAUUUUGAGUUAUGAGUUUGGAAUCAUGGAAAUGUUAAGAUAUACCUUUUUUUUGUUUUUUCUUGUUUUAUAUAUAUUUUUUAAAAUUAUUAUAAAGAUUUCUUGUGCUUGCGUUGCCUGGUGGUCUCUUGUAAUUGAUGCUUUGUUUCUUUGCUGGAUCUUGCAAUGAUUCAGCAUUUUUCAGAUUUCUUUGUUAAGCCUUCAUUCAAGAACUUAAAUCCUAAGGUCUUUUUAUAUUUCAUUUAUGUAAAUUGUGAGAAGAAAUAAAAGAGAAGCAACCUUGAUUGAGCACUGCCAUUUGAGAAUUUUCCAUUAUGGAUAAUUGUGGCUAUUAAAGACUUGACGGCCCCUUCAGACAAGCAAGAGACCAACACUAGGCUGUGAAUCUAUUGUUGCAGAUGGCAGGUGCCUAUUUGAUGUUUUGAAAACAGCAAAUAUGGUGAACAUGGUUGGCCUUGUUAACCCCGCUCGAGUUAGUGCUAAUUCUGGAUCAUUAACUCAAAGAUCACGUUUGUUAGCCAAUCGACUUCAAAAGACAGAUGGGGAACAGAUUUUCUUUAUGCCUUACAAUCGAGGGUACGUUAGUCAACACGAUUUUCUUUGUAUGAUGCAGUGUAGCCGUCAUUGGGUCUUGGUCAUUGUGAGACCAAAGAGGGAGACUCUGUAUUUUCUGGAUCCACUACCCGGAAAUUGAGUGGUUGAUGACGAGUGCAAAAACAUAGUGAACACGUAAGUUUGAUGUACUAACUUGUUAUGUGUGUUUGUAGCCUAAUUUUUUUUUUCAAUGACACUUUGUUGUCUUGAAACAAUGCUAUCAAAAUGUAUAAUUCACACAUAGGCAGACAAGGCCGUAAAGCACCGAUUUGGAAAACUCUACAAGGCACACCAAAGCAACUCAGCAGUGUAGAGUGUGGCUAUUAUGUCAUGCGCUUUAUGAGAGACAUCAUCACAGAUCUUUCUUUGGAGUUUGAGAAGAAGUUUGAAAAGGGCAAAGAUCCAGCACCAUACCCCCAAGAAGCCAUUGAAGAAGUGAGGAAAGAAUAGGCAGAUUUUGUUUGCCUAUAUGGAGUAGAGGAUUUUUACAAACAGUUAUGAAAAAUAUACAUAUUUUUUUUAGAAUAGACAAUUUUUUGUAUAGGGUUUAGGGUAUAAUGUGUAUA